rnacentral:rRNA from 1 species
GAUGAACGCUGGCGGCGUGCCUAGUACAUGCAAGUCGAGCGAACGGACGAGAAGCUUGCCUCUCUGAUGUUAGCGGCGGACGGGUGAGUAACACGUGGAUAGCCUACCUAUAAGACUGGGAUAACUUCGGGAAACCGGAGCUAAUACCGGAUAAUAUUUUGAACCGCAUGGUUCAAAAGUGAAAGACGGUCUUGCUGUCACUUAUAGAUGGAUCCGCGCUGCAUUAGCUAGUUGGUAAGGUAACGGCUUACCAAGGCAACGAUGCAUAGCCGACCUGAGAGGGUGAUCGGCCACACUGGAACUGAGACACGGUCCAGACUCCUACGGGAGGCAGCAGUAGGGAAUCUUCCGCAAUGGGCGAAAGCCUGACGGAGCAACGCCGCGUGAGUGAUGAAGGUCUUCGGAUCGUAAAACUCUGUUAUUAGGGAAGAACAUAUGUGUAAGUAACUGUGCACAUCUUGACGGUACCUAAUCAGAAAGCCACGGCUAACUACGUG